rnacentral:rRNA from 1 species
AGAGUUUGAUCCUGGCUCAGAACGAACGCUGGCGGCGUGGAUAAGACAUGCAAGUCGAACGAGAGAAUUGCUAGCUUGCUAAUAAUUCUCUAGUGGCGCACGGGUGAGUAACACGUGAGUAACCUGCCCCCGAGAGCGGGAUAGCCCUGGGAAACUGGGAUUAAUACCGCAUAGUAUCGAAAGAUUAAAGCAGCAAUGCGCUUGGGGAUGGGCUCGCGGCCUAUUAGUUAGUUGGUGAGGUAACGGCUCACCAAGGCGAUGACGGGUAGCCGGUCUGAGAGGAUGUCCGGCCACACUGGAACUGAGACACGGUCCAGACACCUACGGGUGGCAGCAGUCGAGAAUCAUUCACAAUGGGGGAAACCCUGAUGGUGCGACGCCGCGUGGGGGAAUGAAGGUCUUCGGAUUGUAAACCCCUGUCAUGUGGGAGCAAAUUAAAAAGAUAGUACCACAAGAGGAAGAGACGGCUAACUCUGUGCCAGCAGCCGCGGUAAUACAGAGGUCUCAAGCGUUGUUCGGAAUCACUGGGCGUAAAGCGUGCGUAGGCUGUUUCGUAAGUCGUGUGUGAAAGGCGCGGGCUCAACCCGCGGACGGCACAUGAUACUGCGAGACUAGAGUAAUGGAGGGGGAACCGGAAUUCUCGGUGUAGCAGUUAAAUGCGUAGAUAUCGAGAGGAACACUCGUGGCGAAGGCGGGUUCCUGGACAUUAACUGACGCUGAGGCACGAAGGCCAGGGGAGCGAAAGGGAUUAGAUACCCCUGUAGUCCUGGCAGUAAACGGUGCACGCUUGGUGUGCGGGGAAUCGACCCCCUGCGUGCCGGAGCUAACGCGUUAAGCGUGCCGCCUGGGGAGUACGGUCGCAAGAUUAAAACUCAAAGAAAUUGACGGGGACCCGCACAAGCGGUGGAGUAUGUGGCUUAAUUCGAUGCAACGCGAAGAACCUUACCUGGGCUUGACAUGUAAUGAACAACAUGUGAAAGCAUGCGACUCUUCGGAGGCGUUACACAGGUGCUGCAUGGCCGUCGUCAGCUCGUGUCGUGAGAUGUUUGGUUAAGUCCAGCAACGAGCGCAACCCCUGUUGCCAGUUACCAGCACGUGAAGGUGGGGACUCUGGCGAGACUGCCCAGAUCAACUGGGAGGAAGGUGGGGACGACGUCAGGUCAGUAUGGCCCUUAUGCCCAGGGCUGCACACGUACUACAAUGCCCAGUACAGAGGGGGCCGAAGCCGCGAGGCGGAGGAAAUCCUAAAAACUGGGCCCAGUUCGGACUGUAGGCUGCAACCCGCCUACACGAAGCCGGAAUCGCUAGUAAUGGCGCAUCAGCUACGGCGCCGUGAAUACGUUCCCGGGUCUUGCACUCACCGCCCGUCA